rnacentral:rRNA from 1 species
GACGAACGCUGGCGGCGCGCCUAACACAUGCAAGUCGAACGGAGAUAAGGAGGAGCUUGCUCCACCUUAUCUGAGUGGCGGACGGGUGAGUAACGCGUGAGUAACCUGCCUUAAGGAUGGGGACAACAGUUCGAAAGGACUGCUAAUACCGAAUGUUGUAGAGUUUCCGCAUGGGAAUCCUACUAAAGGUGGCCUCUACUUGUAAGCUAUCGCUUUACGAUGGGUCUGCGUCUGAUUAGCUAGUUGGUGGGGUAACGGCCUACCAAGGCGACGAUCAGUAGCCGGUCUGAGAGGAUGAACGGCCACAUUGGAACUGAGACACGGUCCAG